rnacentral:rRNA from 2 species
AGUUUGAUCCUGGCUCAGAACGAACGCUGGCGGCAGGCUUAACACAUGCAAGUCGAGCGCACAGUUUACUGUGAGCGGCAGACGGGUGAGUAACGCGUGGGAAUCUACCUUGAGCUACGGGAUAACAGAGAGAAAUUUCUGCUAAUACCGUAUGUGGCCUUUGGGCGAAAGAUUUAUCGGCUUAAGAUGAGCCCGCGUUGGAUUAGCUGGUUGGUGGGGUAAAGGCCUACCAAGGCGACGAUCCAUAGCUGGUCUGAGAAGAUGAUCAGCCACACUGGGACUGAGACACGGCCCAGACUCCUACGGGAGGCAGCAGUGGGGAAUAUUGGACAAUGGGCGCAAGCCUGAUCCAGCCAUGCCGCGUGAGUGAAGAAGGCCUUAGGGUUGUAAAGCUCUUUCACCGGUGAAGAUAAUGACGGUAGCCGGAGAAGAAGCCCCGGCUAACUUCGUGCCAGCAGCCGCGGUAAUACGAAGGGGGCUAGCGUUGUUCGGAUUUACUGGGCGUAAAGCGCGCGUAGGCGGAUAGAUAAGUCAGAGGUGAAAUCCCGGGGCUCAACCCCGGAAUUGCCUUUGAUACUGUUUAUCUUGAGUGCAGAANAGGUAAGUGGAAUUCCNAGUGUAGAGGUGAAAUUCGUAGAUAUUCNGAGGAACACC